GCGACACUAGCACAGCUGGUAGAGCGCAACCUUGCCAAGGUUGAGGUCACGAGUUCGAGCCUCGUGUGUCGCUCCA
rnacentral:tRNA from 1 species